ACGGGGUCUAUGGCUGAUCAAGAAGAGCCAUGGCCUAGGCUAGUGGCCCACAUUGAAUUCCAAAAUUUUGGGCAAAUUUGAUUGGAUGGCGUCAAUAUCUGGAGUCUGGAAGCAACCACAGUUCACAACACAUCGCUUACUAGAAAGAAUAACCAGGCACCGUAUGUUGACAGCAAGAAUUCUUCUGUUCAACAUACUGCUUCUAUUAGUAGCAUGUGUUCCUUUUCAUGCAGAAUGCGCAUUUUUUGCCCUUUCUGAAAGAGGCAGGUUUAGAUUGAGACGAUUCGUCAAACAAUGCAGAGAAAUUUAGAACUAGCUUGACUGCAAA